UACGUAGGCAGCGAGCGUUGUUCGGAGUUACUGGGCGUAAAGAGUGCGUAGGCGGUUUUCUAAGUUUGGUGUGAAAUCUCCCGGCUUAACUGGGAGGGUGCGCCGAAGACUGGAAGGCUUGAGUAUGGGAGAGGUAAGCGGAAUUCCUGGUGUAGCGGUGAAAUGCGUAGAUAUCAGGAGGAACACCGGUGGCGAAGGCGGGUCUCUGGGCCGAUACUGACGCUGAGACGCGAAAGCGUGGGGAGCGAACAGG
rnacentral:rRNA from 1 species